rnacentral:rRNA from 1 species
UACGUAGGGUGCAAGCGUUGUCCGGAAUUAUUGGGCGUAAAGAGCUCGUAGGCGGUCUGUCGCGUCGGCUGUGAAAACCUGGGGCUUAACUCCGGGCCUGCAGCCGAUACGGGCAGACUAGAGUUCGGCAGGGGAGACUGGAAUUCCUGGUGUAGCGGUGAAAUGCGCAGAUAUCAGGAGGAACACCGGUGGCGAAGGCGGUUCUCUGGGCCUUACCUGACGCUGAGGAGCGAAAGCGUGGGGAGCGAACAGG